AUUGAACGCUGGCGGCAGGCCUAACACAUGCAAGUCGAGCGGUAGAGAGAAGCUUGCUUCUCUUGAGAGCGGCGGACGGGUGAGUAAUGCCUAGGAAUCUGCUUGGUAGUGGGGGAUAACGUUCGGAAACGGACGCUAAUACCGCAUACGUCCUACGGGAGAAAGCAGGGGACCUUCGGGCCUUGCGCUAUCAGAUGAGCCUAGGUCGGAUUAGCUAGUUGGUGGGGUAAUGGCUCACCAAGGCGACGAUCCGUAACUGGUCUGAGAGGAUGAUCAGUCACACUGGAACUGAGACACGGUCCAGACUCCUACGGGAGGCAGCAGUGGGGAAUAUUGGACAAUGGGCGAAAGCCUGAUCCAGCCAUGCCGCGUGUGUGAAGAAGGUCUUCGGAUUGUAAAGCACUUUAAGUUGGGAGGAAGGGCAGUAAAUUAAUACUUUGCUGUUUUGACGUUACCGACAGAAUAAGCACCGGCUAACUCUGUG
rnacentral:rRNA from 1 species